rnacentral:rRNA from 1 species
GUGAUUAGAGUUUGAUCCUGGCUCAGAUUGAACGCUGGCGGCAGGCUUAACACAUGCAAGUCGAGCGGAGAGAGGUAGCUUGCUACCGAUCUUAGCGGCGGACGGGUGAGUAAUGCUUAGGAAUCUGCCUAUUAGUGGGGGACAACAUUUCGAAAGGAAUGCUAAUACCGCAUACGUCCUACGGGAGAAAGCAGGGGAUCUUCGGACCUUGCGCUAAUAGAUGAGCCUAAGUCGGAUUAGCUAGUUGGUGGGGUAAAGGCCUACCAAGGCGACGAUCUGUAGCGGGUCUGAGAGGAUGAUCCGCCACACUGGGACUGAGACACGGCCCAGACUCCUACGGGAGGCAGCAGUGGGGAAUAUUGGACAAUGGGCGCAAGCCUGAUCCAGCCAUGCCGCGUGUGUGAAGAAGGCCUUAUGGUUGUAAAGCACUUUAAGCGAGGAGGAGGCUACUUUAGUUAAUACCUAGAGAUAGUGGACGUUACUCGCAGAAUAAGCACCGGCUAACUCUGUGCCAGCAGCCGCGGUAAUACAGAGGGUGCAAGCGUUAAUCGGAUUUACUGGGCGUAAAGCGCGCGUAGGCGGCUAAUUAAGUCAAAUGUGAAAUCCCCGAGCUUAACUUGGGAAUUGCAUUCGAUACUGGUUAGCUAGAGUGUGGGAGAGGAUGGUAGAAUUCCAGGUGUAGCGGUGAAAUGCGUAGAGAUCUGGAGGAAUACCGAUGGCGAAGGCAGCCAUCUGGCCUAACACUGACGCUGAGGUGCGAAAGCAUGGGGAGCAAACAGGAUUAGAUACCCUGGUAGAAUCG